rnacentral:rRNA from 1 species
UUUGAUCCUGGCUCAGAACGAACGCUGGCGGCGUGCUUAACACAUGCAAGUCGAACGCGAAAGUUUUCUUCGGAAGGCGAGUAGAGUGGCGCACGGGUGAGUAACGCGUAAAUAAUCUACCCCUGCAUUUGGGAUAACCCACCGAAAGGUGGGCUAAUACCGGAUACGUUCUUUAGGUUGCGAGAUUUAGAGAAGAAAGGUGGCCUCUGAUAUAAGCUACUGUGCGGGGAGGAGUUUGCGUACCAUUAGCUAGUUGGUAGGGUAAUGGCCUACCAAGGCGACGAUGGUUAGCGGGUCUGAGAGGAUGAUCCGCCACACUGGAACUGGAACACGGACCAGACUCCUACGGGAGGCAGCAGUGAGGAAUAUUGCGCAAUGGGGGCAACCCUGACGCAGCGACGCCGCGUGGAUGAUGAAGGCCUUCGGGUCGUAAAAUCCUGUCAGAUGGAAAGAAGUGCUAUAUGAAUAAUACUUGUAUAGUUUGACGGUACCAUCAAAGGAAGCACCGGCUAACUCCGUGCCAGCAGCCGCGGUAAUACGGAGGGUGCAAGCGUUGUUCGGAAUUACUGGGCGUAAAGCGCGCGUAGGUGGUUUGUUAUGUCAGAUGUGAAAGUCCACGGCUCAACCGUGGAAGUGCAUUUGAAACUGGCAGACUUGAGUACUGGAGGGGGUAGUGGAAUUCCCGGUGUAGAGGUGAAAUUCGUAGAUAUCGGGAGGAAUACCGGUGGCGAAGGCGACUACCUGGCCAGAUACUGACACUGAGGUGCGAAAGCGUGGGGAGCAAACAGGAUUAGAUACCCUGGUAGUCCACGCCG